UAUUCUGCCCUACAGGGAAGGAUGAGAAGCUUCGACUAAGGUUCGACUCGAGCGAAGCGAGAGAACGUUGCCGCAGGCAACGGCCCGAAGG
rnacentral:sRNA from 1 species